rnacentral:lncRNA from 1 species
CUCAUUGCUUGAUUAACUUCUAGUUGAGCCACUGUAGUCACUUGGACUAUUUUAACGAUGUCUUUACUAACUUUUCUGGGCCAGCAGGAUGAAAUUACCAAGAAGCCUAUGAAGGAGUGAGGCGGCUCUCAAAUUUCAUCAAAAAUAUCUUAAUUUGUGUUCAGAAGAUGAACGAAAAUGACGGGGUUGUAACAACAUGAGCGUAAGUAAUUACUGAUAGAAUUUUCAUUUUUUGCAUAAACUAACCCUUUAAACAUUACAUUUAAUGAUAACUUGUGACUGGCAAAAAUGUCAUUUCUAAUUAUCAUCUUCUUUAAUACAGAAAAGAGAGAGUGUGAAACCAUCAGCUGUUUGCUGAUUUAUUUACUGUAGGUAAAUAGUAAAGUCGUAGUGAAUGCCAUCAAUAAACAUAUAAUGAUUAUAUGGUAUGUACUGUAUAUCUAAUUUUUUUUUGGUCCCCAGUCUGCUAAAAAAGACCUGUCCAGUGUAUACCAACAUGAAAAAAAAAAAGAAAUAAUUCUUGGACUGAAAGAAACUCCUGCGUCCAUUUGGGCUGAAGGUCAAGACAGAACCAAACCAAAGCUGGACUGUAACCUACUGGCCUAUAUGACAGACUUCAUACUGACAGCUACUGGCAUGGAUGCUGCAUCACAUGUUUUUGAACAAAAAAAUUUCCCUUUGAAUUUCAAGUGUGGAGUAUUCAUCCCCCAUGAGGAGACUCUAUGUCUUCAUCUCUUGUGAGUGGAUAUCAUUUUAAACAUUAUUUUACAGAACUGCUCAUUUCUUCUGAAUUUAUUUUGUAGUAUGUAAGAAUUUUCCAUUUAAAAGAAAAAUAAACUUUUAGUUGUGUUUUUAAGUAAUGAAGUAAUUCAUUGU